UAAGGAAUAUUGGUCAAUGGGCGCAAGCCUGAACCAGCCACGCCGCGUGAAGGAAGACGGCCCUAUGGGUUGUAAACUUCUUUUGUAUGGGGAUAAACCUGCGAACGUGUUCGCAGCUGAAGGUACCAUACGAAUAAGCAUCGGCUAACUCCGUGCCAGCAGCCGCGGUAAUACGGAGGAUGCAAGCGUUAUCCGGAUUUAUUGGGUUUAAAGGGUGCGUAGGUGGGAAAGUAAGUCAGAGGUGAAAGCCAGCAGCUCAACUGUUGAAUUGCCUUUGAUACUGCUAUCCUUGAGUAUUGUUGGAGUUGGCGGAAUGUGACAUGUAGCGGUGAAAUGCGUAGAUAUGUCCCAGAACACCGAUCGCGAAGGCAGCUAACUAAGCAAUUACUGACACUGAUGC
rnacentral:rRNA from 1 species